GUGACCUCAAAUCAGGUAGGACUACCCGCUGAACUUAAGCAUAUCAAUAAGCGGAGGAAAAGAAACUAACAAGGAUUCCCCUAGUAACUGCGAGUGAAGCGGGAAAAGCUCAAAUUUAAAAUCUGGCGGCCUUUUUGCUGUCCGAGUUGUAAUCUAGAGAAGUGUUAUCCGCGCUGGACCGUGUACAAGUCUCCUGGAAUGGAGCAUCAUAGAGGGUGAGAAUCCCGUCUUUGACAUGGACUACCAGGGCUUUGUGAUGCGCUCUCAAAGAGUCGAGUUGUUUGGG
rnacentral:rRNA from 1 species